rnacentral:rRNA from 1 species
AUUGAACGCUGGCGGCAGGCCUAACACAUGCAAGUCGAGCGAGCGGCGGACGGGUGAGUAAUGUAUGGGGACUGCCCGUUAGCGGGGGGUUACUCCUGGAAACGGUAGCUAAUACCGCAUACUAUCGGAUAACUCUUAUGGUAUUAGCUAGUAGGUGAGGUAAUGGCCUACCUAGGCGACGAUUCCUAGCUGGUCUGAGAGGAUGGUCAGCCGCCAUGGGACGUGGACACGGCCCAGGCUCCUACGGAGGCAGCAGUGGGGAAUUGUGGACAAUGGGGGAAACCCUGAUCCAGCCAUCCCGCGUGUAUGAUGAAGGCCUUCGGGUUGUAAAGUACUUUUGGCAGUGAAGCGGUAUCUGCAUAAUAAGCACCGGCUAACUACGUGCCAGCAGCCGCGGUAAUUC